UGCCAGCCGCCGCGGUAACACGGGGGGCGCAAGCGUUAUUCGGAAUUAUUGGGCGUAAAGGGCGCGCAGGCGGUCUUGUCCGUCAGGUGUGAAAGCUCGGGGCUCAACCCCGGAAGUGCACUUGAAACAGCAAGACUUGAAUACGGUAGAGGAGAGAGGAAUUCCUGGUGUAGAGGUGAAAUUCGUAGAUAUCAGGAGGAACACCGAUAACGAAGGUAACUCACUAGGCUGAUACUGACGCUGAGGUACGAAAGCGUGGGGAGCGAACGGGAUUAGAUA
rnacentral:rRNA from 1 species